UACGUAGGAGACGAGCGUUGUCCGGAGUUACUGGGCGUAAAGGGUGCGCAGGCGGCCUUGCGCGUCGCGAGUGAAAUCUCCCGGCUCAACUGGGAGGGUGGUCGCGAGACGGCAGGGCUUGAGGCUCGGUGAGGGGCGUGGAAUUCCGGGUGGAGCGGUGAAAUGCGUAGAUAUCGUUUGGAACGCCGAUGGUGAAAACAGGUUGCUGGGGCUGUGCUGACGCUGAGACACGAAAGCCAGGGGAGCGAACGGG
rnacentral:rRNA from 1 species